UACGUAGGGACCAAGCGUUGUUCGGAUUUACUGGGCGUAAAGGGCGCGUAGGCGGCGUGGUAAGUCACUUGUGAAAUCUCUGAGCUUAACUCAGAACGGCCAAGUGAUACUGCUGUGCUAGAGUGCAGAAGGGGCAAUCGGAAUUCUUGGUGUAGCGGUGAAAUGCGUAGAUAUCAAGAGGAACACCAGUGGCGAAGGCGCCGCUCUGGGCCGUGACUGACGCUGAGGAGCGAAAGCGUGGGUAGCAAACAGG
rnacentral:rRNA from 1 species